rnacentral:rRNA from 1 species
GAUGAACGCUGGCGGCGUGCUUAACACAUGCAAGUCGAACGGAAAGGCCAGGCUUUUGUGGGGUGCUCGUGUGGCGAACGGGUGAGUAACACGUGAGUAACCUGCCCUUGACUUUGGGAUAACUUCAGGAAACUGGGGCUAAUAUCGGAUAGGAGAUCCUGAUGCAUGGUGGGGGUUGGAAAGUGUCGGCCGUUUGGGAUGGACUCGCGGCUUAUCAGCUUGUUGGUGAGGUAGGGGCUUACAAAGGCUGUGACGGGUAGCCGGCCUGAGAGGGUGACCGGCCACAUUGGGACUGAGAGACGGCCCAGACUCCUACGGUAGGCAGCAGGGGGGAAUAUUGCACAACGGGCGGAAGCCUGAUGCAGCAACGCCGCGUGCGGGAUGACGGCCUUCGGGUUGUAAACCGCUUUCGCCUGUGACGAAGCGUGAGUGACGGUAAUGGGUAAAGAAGCACCGGCUAACUACGUG